rnacentral:rRNA from 1 species
UACGGAGGGUGCAAGCGUUAUCCGGAUUUACUGGGUUUAAAGGGUGCGUAGGUGGGUUGGGAAGUCAGUGGUGAAAUACUUUCGCUUAACGAAGGAACUGCCAUUGAUACUAUCAAUCUUGAAUGUAGUGGAGGUAGGCGGAAUGCGUCAUAUAGCGGUGAAAUGCUUAGAUAUGACGCAGAACACCAAUUGCGAAGGCAGCUUGCUACACUACUAUUGACACUGAGGCACGAAAGCGUGGGGAUCAAACAGG